UGCCUCGGCGGAUCAGCCCGCUCCCGGUAAAACGGGACGGCCCGCCAGAGGACCCCUAAACUCUGUUUCUAUAUGUAACUUCUGAGUAAAACCAUAAAUAAAUCAAAACUUUCAACAACGGAUCUCUUGGUUCUGGCAUCGAUGAAGAACGCAGCAAAAUGCGAUAAGUAAUGUGAAUUGCAGAAUUCAGUGAAUCAUCGAAUCUUUGAACGCACAUUGCGCCCGCCAGUAUUCUGGCGGGCAUGCCUGUUCGAGCGUCAUUUCAACCCUCAAGCACAGCUUGGUGUUGGGACUCGCGUUAAUUCGCGUUCCUCAAAUUGAUUGGCGGUCACGUCGAGCUUCCAUAGCGUAGUAGUAAAACCCUCGUUACUGGUAAUCGUCGCGGCCACGCCGUUAAACCCCAACUUCUGAAUGUUGACCUCGGAUCAGGUAGGAAUACCCGCUGAACUUAAGCAUAUCAAUAAGCGGAGG
rnacentral:rRNA from 1 species